rnacentral:rRNA from 1 species
UGGGGGAUAUUGCACAAUGGGCGAAAGCCUGAUGCAGCGACGCCGCGUGGGGGAUGAAGGCUUUCGGGUUGUAAACCUCUUUCGCUAUCGAACAAGGCCCGCUUAGGGUGGGUUGAGGGUAGGUGGAGAAGAAGCGCCGGCUAACUACGUGCCAGCAGCCGCGGUAAUACGUAGGGCGCGAGCGUUGUCCGGAAUUAUUGGGCGUAAAGGGCUUGUAGGCGGCUUGUUGCGCCUGCUGUGAAAACGCGGGGCUUAACUUCGCGCGUGCAGUGGGUACGGGCAGGCUUGAGUGUGGUAGGGGUGACUGGAAUUCCAGGUGUCGCGGUGGAAUGCGCAGAUAUCUGGAGGAACACCGAUGGCGAAGGCAGGUCACUGGGCCAUUACUGACGCUGAGGAGCGAAAGCAUGGGUAGCGAACAGG